AGUUUAAUUGUAGUCACUUUUACAUAAUAUCCCCAAAGCAGUAAAUACUGCAUCUCAUGGAAUUCAAGUAAAAGUUCUGUACAUGGGGUUACUUUUAUCCUAGUAGUCAAAGAAGACUGUGUUGGGAGACCCAAAAAAGAUUAUAUGUUUUUAUAUAUUUCAUAAUGUGUGAUAUAACAAAUUUGUUCCAUAUAUUUUAAUGAUUUUGUAGAUUAAAACUGUUUUGAGAAGGCCAUUUGCUUUGAGAAAUAUUUUUGCUGAAACUGAGCUAAAUUGAGCAUUCUUUCUAACCAGUCUGGAAAAGUGCUGCACCAUGGCAUUUACCUUUCUUCCCCUGAGGCUAUUAUGCCUCACAUUUUUUCUAUUUAUGUAUGACUUUACUAAUGAGACACAAAAAAUUCCCAUGGUUUCUCUAGCUUCCUCCUUUUAUUUCAAACCUGUACCAGAUGGUUUAUGUGCUUUAGGGUCCUGUUGGAUAAACCAAAUAUUCAGUUAGAAAUUCUGUGCCAUUAGGUUUGACAGUGAAAAGAGGUAGUCCCAUCUGCCUGUUUUGACCAGAGUGUAAAUCAUUAAAUAAUAGCAUUAGAAGGAUUUUGAAGAAGUUAUUUGAUCUACCCUGCUGCUUUAUAGAGGCAAAUGACCUCAUUCACUAGCAUUUCUUCCUCAUAGUUUAUUACUGUUCACAAUCUUAGCUACUUCUUUGACAACAACAACAACAACCACAACAAAAGUGAUAUUGAGAUGUGGAUGCUGGCUACUUAGUUCACUUGUAGCUAGAUAAUUGGUUUUGAAAUACCAGCCUCCUUGUUCUUGAGAUUCAUUUGUUUGCACCUCUAUAGAAUUAUAAAAUAUAAUAUGUGGUAGCAUAGCCUUUCCUGAAUCAUUCUGAGUUAUCAGUAUAGUCAAGCCACAAAUGCAAGCCGUAGGACAAGAUUUUAAAAAUACAAUAUAGUAGUGAGAAUAAAAGUGAAUAAGUAUUUUUCCUUAUUUCUUCUUAUCAGAGAAUGGAGCUCAAGAUAGUUUAGGACCAGAGAAGAGAUUGGAGUAACUGCUGGUUUUGGAAAUUAGACACUUCUGUAUACUAUUUCUAGUACUCAGCACAGGGCCUGAAUCAUAGUGGAUAUUCAUAUGUUUAAGUAAGUAAAUAAAGGCAUUAUACUUACCAGAACUUUUAGGUCUA
rnacentral:lncRNA from 1 species